rnacentral:rRNA from 1 species
GACAGAGGGUGCAAACGUUGUUCGGAUUUACUGGGCGUAAAGCGCGUGUAGGCGGCUUGGCAAGUCGGAUGUGAAAGCCCAAGGCUCAACCGUGGAAGCGCACCCGAAACGGCCUCGCUCGAGUCUCGGAGAGGAAGGUGGAAUGCUUGGUGUAGAGGUGAAAUUCGUAGAUAUCAAGCAGAACACCUGCGGCGAAGGCGGCCUUCUGGACGAUGACUGACGCUGAGACGCGAAAGCGUGGGGAGCAAACAGG